CUCCGCCCUCGCCCUCCUGAGGGUCCGCACCCCCGCCCCUGCCUCCCGGGGCUCCCUUCCUUCCAGAGGGUCCCCUCCUCCGCCCCCUCCCUCCUGGGGGCGUCUCCUCCUCCGCCCCCUCCCUCUCGGGGGGUCUCUUCCCGGGGGGGGUUCUUCUCCUCCUCCGCCCACUCCUCCUGGGGGUCCCCCCCACCCCCGGUGGCUGUGUCGCUGCGGGUCUUGAGGGCCCUGGCCCGUUUCCUCGCGCUCCAGGUCCUCAGUCGCCGCCCCUCGCCCGCCUUUGUUCUCAGCUCGCGGCCUCCCGCCCCCUGGAGCUCCUGAACCACCUGCCUUGGGACGAGUACCUUCCAGAGACACCCUCAGCGGCUGUCAUUUGCAAAGUUUAUCCACAUCCGCCUCAGAUGAGAAUGUUCAAAAGAAAACCACAGGCCCCACACAGUGUCACUUGUGCUAAAGACCAUGACACAAACCUAGAAAUGUCAUCUUCAUCGACCAGUGUGGAAUUUUCUGCUCAGCACCAAUGACUUCAUCUGGCACCUGGGCCCUCUCCAUGCCCUCCCCCAGAGGAAGAAGAGGCAAUCUGCGUAAUAAAACCCUUGCCAGUUCCCUUCCCCCCCAAAAGAGAUGACCUGUCAUAAAAAUAACCCUUUCUUUUCUUUUGUGAAUAGCUCCCUUGCCCCACCCUUUUUCCUAUAAUAUAAAAACUGUCCAUUUCGUACAACUCACAGUGCCUUCCAGGUGCUAGAUGGGAUGAUGCCAGAUUCAUGAAUCACCUAAUAAAGCCAAUUAGAUCUUCAAA